rnacentral:rRNA from 1 species
CCUACGGGAGGCAGCAGUGGGGAAUAUUGCACAAUGGGGGAAACCCUGAUGCAGCGACGCCGCGUGAAGGAAGAAGUAUUUCGGUAUGUAAACUUCUAUCAGCAGGGAAGAAAAUGAAGGUACCUGACUAAGAAGCCCCGGCUAACUACGUGCCAGCAGCCGCGGUAAUACGUAGGGGGCACGCGUUAUCCGGAUUUACUGGGUGUAAAGGGAGCGUAGACGGUUGUGCAAGUCUGAAGUGAAAGCCCGCGGCUCAACUGCGGAACUGCUUUGGAAACUGUGUAACUGGAGUGCGGGAGAGGUGAGCGGAAUUCCUGGUGUAGCGGUGAAAUGCGUAGAGAUCAGGAGGAACACCAGCGGCGAAGGCGGCUAACUGGAAAAUAACUGACGUUGAGGCGCGAAAGCGUGGGGAGCAAACAGGAUUAGAUACCCUGGUAGUC